UACGUAGGGUGCGAGCGUUGUCCGGAAUUAUUGGGCGUAAAGAGCUCGUAGGCGGUGUGUCACGUCGGCCGUGAAAACCUGCAGCUUAACUGUGGGCGUGCGGUCGAUACGAGCAAACUAGAGUGUUGCAGGGGAGACUGGAAUUCCUGGUGUAGCGGUGAAAUGCGCAGAUAUCAGGAGGAACACCGUGUGAAGGCGGGUC
rnacentral:rRNA from 1 species